rnacentral:rRNA from 1 species
GGGGAAUAUUGGACAAUGGGCGCAAGCCUGAUCCAGCCAUGCCGCGUGAGUGAUGAAGGCCCUAGGGUUGUAAAGCUCUUUCAACGGUGAAGAUAAUGACGGUAACCGUAGAAGAAGCCCCGGCUAACUUCGUGCCAGCAGCCGCGGUAAUACGAAGGGGGCUAGCGUUGUUCGGAAUUACUGGGCGUAAAGCGCACGUAGGCGGAUACUUAAGUUAGGGGUGAAAUCCCAGGGCUCAACCCUGGAACUGCCUUUAAUACUGGGUAUCUCGAGUUCGAGAGAGGUGAGUGGAAUUCCGAGUGUAGAGGUGAAAUUCGUAGAUAUUCGGAGGAACACCAGUGGCGAAGGCGGCUCACUGGCUCGAGACUGACGCUGAGGUGCGAAAGCGUGGGGAGCAAAC